rnacentral:rRNA from 1 species
UACGAAGGUCCCAAGCGUUAUCCGGAUUUAUUGGGUUUAAAGGGUGCGUAGGCGGUCUAUUAAGUCAGUGGUGAAAGCCCCAGCUCAACUUGGGAACUGCCAUUGAUACUGAUGGACUUGAGUACAUUUGAGGUGGGCGGAAUGUGUCAUGUAGCGGUGAAAUGCUUAGAUAUGACACAAAACACCGAUGCGAAGGCAGCUCACUAAACUGUAACUGACGCUGAGGCACGGAAAGCG